UAACGGCCACCAAGGCGACGAUCAGUAGCCGGCCUGAGAGGGUGAACGGCCACAUUGGGACUGAGACACGGCCCAAACUCCUACGGGAGGCAGCAUG
rnacentral:rRNA from 1 species